CCGCAGUUCCAGACUGGUUUAACUCUCACUGCCCCAGUUCCCCAGACUGGUUUGUCUCUCUCUACUCCCAGUCCCAAACUGGUUCAGCUCCCCCAGCGCCUCCAAUUCCCCCCAGUCCCACAUCGGCUUCUCCUUCCCAGUUGUCCCACUUUCCCCUCACAUUCCCUCCAGCAGAGACACCCCCAUAGACCCCCCCAGCCCCUCACCGGGACCCCUCCCGUUCCCCGGUUCCCUUCACCGGGACCCCCGUUCUCUAACCCAGGGACCCCUCCCGUUCCCCGGUUCCCCUCACCGCCCCCGGGGCUCAUCCAGGCCGCAGCCCCCCCCCAUGCCCUCCAUGCAGGCCCGGCCGCUCCUGAGGCGCCAUCGGUCGCCCCGGCACCGCCCCCCGCCGCUCACCUUGGCCCUCAUGGCGGUUCUACGGGGCCCCGCUCAGUCCCGGCGGGCGGGGGGCGGCGGAUGGAGGCGGAUGGCUGCGGAUGGAGGCGGCGGCCGAGGAAGGCACCAAGAUGGCGGCGGCCGAGAGGGGCGCGCUCCCACCGGUGGGGCCUAUUUAUAGGGAAGCACUCAGGCCACGCCCACCGAUGCGCAAGGCACGACGGGAAGUGUAGUUCCUCGCUGUUGGAGCACGAUGGGAGUUGUAGUCCGGCAGCCGGCCGCCAUUUUGCGCCGCCGCGGGGUUCGGUUCCUCCCCGCCUCAAAUUUAUUGGGAAUAAAAACACCAAAUACAAAUUUUUUUUUGUUUUUUUUUUUUUUUUUAUUCUUUUUUUUUUGCUGCUCUUUCUGGGGUGUUUUGAAUUAUUUUUGUUUUUCAUGAAGUGACCGAGAGAUUCCUCCCUCC
rnacentral:lncRNA from 1 species